GACGAACGCUGGCGGCGUGCUUAACACAUGCAAGUCGAACGGAAAGGCCCUGCUUUUGCUGGGUGCUCGAGUGGCGCACGGGUGAGUAACACGUGAGUAAACUGCCCUUGACUUUGGGAUAACUUCAGGGAACUGGGGCUAAUACCGGAUAUGAGCUCCUGCUGCACGGUGGUGGUUGGAAAGUUUCGGCGGUUGUGGAUGGACUCGCGGCUUAUCAGCUUGUUGGUGGGGUAGUGGCUUACCAAGGCUUUGACGGGUAGCCGGCCUGAGAGGGUGACCGGCGACAUUGGGACUGAGAGACGGACCAGACGCCUACGGGAGGCAGCAGGGGGGAAUAUGGCAGAAUGGGCGGAAGCCUGAGGCAGCAGCGCCGCGUGCGGGAUGACCGCCUUCGGGGGGUAAACCGCUGUCGCCUGAGACGAAGCGUUAGUGACGGUAAUGGGUAAAGAAGCACCGGCUAACUACGUG
rnacentral:rRNA from 1 species